rnacentral:tRNA from 1 species
GGUGAUAUAGCUCAGUUGGUAGAGCAAUGGACUGAAAAUCCAUGUGUCCCUGGUUCGAUUCCGGGUAUCACCACGA